UACGGGGGGGGGCAAGCGUUGCUCGGAAUCACUGGGCGUAAAGCGCACGUAGGCGGCUUCUUAAGUCAGGGGUGAAAUCCUGGAGCUCAACUCCAGAACUGCCUUUGAUACUGAGAGGCUUGAGUCCGGGAGAGGUGAGUGGAACUGCGAGUGUAGAGGUGAAAUUCGUAGAUAUUCGCAAGAACACCAGUGGCGAAGGCGGCUCACUGGCCCGGUACUGACGCUGAGGUGCGAAAGCGUGGGGAGCAAACAGG
rnacentral:rRNA from 1 species